UACAGAGGUCUCAAGCGUUGUUCGGAUUCAUUGGGCGUAAAGGGUGCGUAGGCGGCGCGGUAAGUCGGAUGUGAAAUCUCGGGGCUUAACUCCGAAACUGCAUUCGAUACUACCGUGCUUGAGGACUGGAGAGGAGACUGGAAUUUACGGUGUAGCGGUGAAAUGCGUAGAUAUCGUAAGGAAGACCAGUGGCGAAGGCGGGUCUCUGGACAGUUCCUGACGCUGAGGCACGAAGGCCAGGGGAGCAAACAGG
rnacentral:rRNA from 1 species